rnacentral:lncRNA from 1 species
GAAUAGUACGUAUAUUUAUAAUUACCUGUAUGUAGCUUAUUUUGGCUAAUAAAAAUACGAGCAAGGACUUUCCG